rnacentral:rRNA from 1 species
AUUGAACGCUGGCGGCAGGCCUAACACAUGCAAGUCGAACGAGUGGGGGGCGGGUGAGUAAUGUCUGUGAAACUGCCUGAUGGGGGGGGAUAACUACUGGAAAAGGUAGCUAAUACCGCAUACCAUCAGAUGUGCCCAGAUGUGAUUAGCUAGUAGGUGGGGUAAAGGUUCACCUAGGCGACGAUCCCUAGCUGGUCUGAGAGGAUGACCAGCCACACUGGAACUGAGACACGGUCCAGACUCCUACGGGAGGCAGCAGUGGGGAAUAUUGCACAAUGGGCGCAAGCCUGAUGCAGCCAUGCCGCGUGUAUGAAGAAGGCCUUCGGGUUGUAAAGUACUUUCAGCGGGGAGGCGUUACCCGCAGAAGAAGCACCGGCUAACUCCGUGCCAGCAGCCGCGGUAAUAC